rnacentral:rRNA from 1 species
UACGGAGGGUGCGAGCGUUAAUCGGAAUUACUGGGCGUAAAGCGCGCGUAGGCGGUUUUUUAAGUCGGAUGUGAAAUCCCCGGGCUUAACCUGGGAACUGCACCCGAUACUGGACGACUAGAGUGCGAGAGAGGGAGGUAGAAUUCCACGUGUAGCGGUGAAAUGCGUAGAUAUGUGGAGGAAUACCGGUGGCGAAGGCGGCCUCCUGGCUCGACACUGACGCUGAGGUGCGAAAGCGUGGGGAGCAAACAGG